rnacentral:rRNA from 1 species
UACGGGGGGGGCAAGCGUUGUUCGGAAUUACUGGGCGUAAAGGGCUCGUAGGCGGCCAACUAAGUCAGACGUGAAAUCCCUCGGCUUAACCGGGGAACUGCGUCUGAUACUGGAUGGCUAGAGGUUGGGAGAGGGAUGCGAAAUUCCAGGUGUAGCGGUGAAAUGCGUAGAUAUCUGGAGGAACACCGGUGGCGAAGGCGGCAUCCUGGACCAAUUCUGACGCUGAUGAGCGAAAGCCAGGGGAGCAAACGGG